rnacentral:lncRNA from 1 species
GCCAUCAACUUCAUUGUUCCUAAGGUCAGUUAUUCACUCCAUCUCCUGUACUUUUUCUCGCACCCCUGUUCAUCCGCAAUCCAUCUUACUGAAUAUUUUCUUUUUCUUUCUUUGUUUCCCCCUUUUUUUACCUUCAAAACCAUUAGGAUUUAUCCAACAAAAUCGUCAUCCCCACCGAUCAACCACAUCUCCAAUGCCUUGGCCCGUUAGGGGAUCCAGAUCCAAC